rnacentral:rRNA from 1 species
AUACGGAGGGUGCAAGCGUUAAUGGGAAUUACUGGGCGUAAAGCGCGCGUAGGCGGUUUAGUAAGUCGGAUGUGAAAGCCCUCGGCUCAACCGGGGAACUGCAUUCGAUACUGGCAGGCUCGAGGAUGGCAGGGGUAAGUGGAACUCCAGGUGGAACGGUGAAAUGUGUAGAUAUCAGGUGGAACACCGAUGGCGAAGGCAGUUACCUGGGCAAGGACUGACGCUGAUGCACGAAAGCUAGGGGAGCGAACAGGAUUAGAAACCCUAGUAGUCC